UACGGAGUGUGCUAGCGUUACUCGGAAUCACUGGGCAUAAAGCGCACGUAGGCGGGCUGACAAGUCGGUGCUGAAAGCCCCCAGCUCAACUGGGGAACUGGUGCCGAAACUGUUUGCCUUGAGGACGAGAGGGGAGAGUGGAACUUCUGGUGGAGCGGUGAAAUGCGUAGAUAUCAGAAGGAACACCGGUGGCGAAAGCGACUCUCUGGCUCGUUUCUGACGCUCAGGUGCGAAAGCGUGGGUAGCAAACAGG
rnacentral:misc_RNA from 1 species